UUUUUAUAAGGAUAACUACGGAAAAGCUGUAGCUAAUACUUGCUCGAUUGUCCAGAUAAAUCAGUGGUUUUUAUCUGUUGACAGGUAUUUGUUGCGUGAAAAAAGAUCGACACAAUUCAAGGAAUGAUAACAAAGAAACAACACGUAUAAAUGAAUAAUUUAUUAGUGUGUAUCAAUCGAGUUUCUGACCUAUCAGCUUUUGAUGUUAAGGUAUUGGCCUAACAUGGCUAUGACGGGUA
rnacentral:rRNA from 1 species